rnacentral:rRNA from 1 species
GAUGAACGCUGGCGGCGUGCCUAAUACAUGCAAGUCGAGCGAACAGGCGAGGAGCUUACUCCUCUGACGUUAGCGGCGGACGGGUGAGUAACACGUGGAUAACCUACCUAUAAGACUGGGAUAACUUCGGGAAACCGGAGCUAAUACCGGAUAACAUGUUGAACCGCAUGGUUCAACAGUGAAAGACGGUCUUGCUGUCACUUAUAGAUGGAUCCGCGUCGCAUUAGCUAGUUGGUAAGGUAACGGCUUACCAAGGCAACGAUGCGUAGCCGACCUGAGAGGGGGGUCGGCCGCACUGGAACUGGGACACGGUCCAGACGCCUACGGGAGGCAGCAGUAGGGAAUCUUCCGCAAUGGGCGAAAGCCUGACGGAGCAACGCCGCGUGAGUGAAGAAGGUCUUCGGAUCGUAAAACUCUGUUAUUAGGGAAGAACAAAUGUGUGAGUAGCUAUGCACGUCUUGACGGUACCUAAUCAGAAAGCCACGGCUAACUACGUG